UUGAUUCAUCGCUGGUUCAUCGUUUAUUCGAAAUCUCUCCAUAACCAUGGUGAAAACCGAUUACAAAUUGUGGCAAAGAACAAAGCAAGGAAAAGUUGAUCUUUAUGAUAACAUAUGUUGAAAAAGAAGAUGGUUCAAGCUUGAAGGUAUAGCUGCACACCAAGUGUUUGAUAAAAUUUGAGUGAUUUGAACAAUAAUUAGAUUUAAUUUUCCCAAUAGCAAUGACUCUUGGAAGAGCUAAUGUAUGUAUAGAUUCAUUCAUGUAUAAAUAUUUAACUUAUGAAAAAAUAAUUAUGAUAACUUUUGCUCUUCCAAUCUAAACUGAGGCCAGAUUCGUGCAUGGAAGAAAUGGGAACAGAGCCAUCUCGUUGAUGAAGACGCCUUAAAUGAGCCAACAUGAUUAGUUGGAGGGUAAGUUUUUAGAGCAACAAGUAGAGUUGGAAGCUAAAUAUCAGAAGCUUUAUGAACCACUUUACACAAAGGUGUGUGUUCUUCAUUGGUAUUGAGCAUUGAAUCAUGUCUAUUUAUGAAAUAGUUUUUUAUUUAUUUAUUGAGCAUGGAUAUAAUAUAGCCACCCCAACAUGCCAUGGGAUAAGUCGGAACUUUGGGUGAGUAUAAUUGCUUUAUUUGUGCCCUGUUUUUUUUAUUAUUC